GACGAACGCUGGCGGCGUGCUUAACACAUGCAAGUCGAACGAAGUGGCGAACGGGUGAGUAAUACGUGGGUAACCUGCCCUCCUUUUUUGGAUACGCCUUGGAAACGGGGUCUACUCCCGAAUAAAGGGGGAUGGGCUCGCGGCCUGUCAGCUUGUUGGUGGGGUGCUGGCAUACCAAGGCGGUGACGGGUAGCCGGCCUGAGAGGGGGAACGGUCACAGGGGUACGGUGCAACGGCCUAGACGAGGAAGGGGGGGAGAAGAUGGGGAUAUUGGACAAUGGGCGAAAGACUGAUGCAGUGACGCUGCGUGGGGGAUGAAGGUUUUCGGGUUGUAAAAGUCUUGAGCAAUGGAACGGGUAGGUGGAGAAGAAGCGCCGGCUAACUACGUGCCAGCAGCCGCGGUAAUAC
rnacentral:rRNA from 1 species